rnacentral:lncRNA from 1 species
CUGAAAACCCAUCUUCCUUUACGAGUCUAAGUAUGUCCCUGAACUUCUUCUCUGACUUCUCAAACGAUUUGGUUCCAAGUUGAAUGCCGGUAAUAACUUGCCAGUUCUCCAUUUGAAUCGUUCGAAGACUGUGGGUGUUAGAUUUAGAGAGAUUUAUGCGAGAUGGCUGUCUGGUUGGUAAGGCUCUGGGGGUUAACUGAUUUUGCUCUUGAAAAGCUUUCUAGGGUUUUGAAAAUGGGA